rnacentral:rRNA from 1 species
CGAGCACGCGCGUGUGGCAUAUCAAUAAGCGGAGGAAAAGAAACUAACAAGGAUUCCCUUAGUAACGGCGAGUGAAGCGGGAAGAGCUCAAAUUUGAAAUCUUCAAGGGUUUCCCUUUACGAAUUGUAGUUUAAAGAAGUGUUUUCUGUUAGAGAGUUCGGUAAAAGUUCUUUGGAAUAGGACAUCAUAGAGGGUGAGAAUCCCGUAUUUGGUCAUUCCUCCUAGCGUUGUGAUACACUUUCAACGAGUCGGAUUGUUUGGGAAUGCAGUCCAAAAUGGGUGGUAAAUUUCAUCUAAAGCUAAAUAUUGGCGAGAGACCGAUAGCGAACAAGUACCGUGAGGGAAAGAUGAAAAGAACUUUGAAAAGAGAGUUAAACAGUACGUGAAAUUGUCAAAAGGGAAGCGUUUGACACCAGUGUUGUUUUUCCGAAAAUCAAUUACGAAUGUUUUAUUUUUGAGGAGUUAUGACUUCAUCGGCUUGCUCCUUUCUUUAUGAAACUUUCUUAAUGCACUUUUCGGUUAACAAGUCAACAUCAAUUUCUUUUGUUGUAAAAGGGUAUGAGGAAGGUGGCUUUCUUUUCGGAGAAAGUGUUUAUAGCCUUGUGCCUCUGCAAUCGGAGAGAUUGAGGUCUGCAGCGUAGAUCCUUCGGGGUUAGAUACGUUUGUGCUAAGUUAUAGCUUUUCAUAGACAACUUGUUGACUAUGUUUAGUCUUGUAGCUUACUCGCUGACGCUAUUUUACCUACGCUUAGGAUGUUGAUGUGAUACUGCGAGCA